CAGGAAGUUAGCGGUGAGCCCAGCA
rnacentral:piRNA from 1 species